GUGAAUCAUCAAAUCUUUGAACGCAAAUUGCACUCCCUGGUAUUCCGGGGAGUAUGCCUGCUUGAGGGUCGUUAGAAUAAAAAAUCGAUGCGUCGCUCUUUUUGUUAAGGGUGAUCGUGUGGGAAUUGAGCCCUCUUUCAAAUGUUAAUCCAUGUCAAAGUGGCUUAAAAUUCAUCCAUCCGGUACGAUUAAAGCGUAUUUAAGAUCAAUAUAGAUUAAGAACGCCCGAUGA
rnacentral:misc_RNA from 1 species